rnacentral:rRNA from 1 species
UGUGAAGAAGGCCUUUUUGGUUGUAAAGCGCUUUAAGCGAGGAGGAGGCUCCUUUAGUUAAUACCUAGAGAGAGUGGACGUUACUCGCAAAAUAACCACCGGCUAACUCUGUGCCACCACCCGCGGUAAUACAAAGGGUGCGAGCGUUAAUCGGAUUUACGGGGCGUAAAGCGUGCGUAGGCGGCUUUUUAAAUCGAAUGUGAAAUCCCUGACCUUAACUUAGGAAUUGCAUUCGAUACUGGAAAGCUAGAGUAUGGGAAAGGAUGGUAAAAUUCCAGGUGUACCGGUGAAAUGCGUAAAGAUCUGGAGGAAUACCGAUGGCGAAGGCAGCCAUCUGGCCUAAUACUGACCCUGAGGUACGAAAGCAUGGGGAGCAAACAGGAUUAGAUACCCUGGUAGUCCAUGCCGUAAACGAUGUCUACUAGCCGUUGGGGCCUUUGAGGCUUUAGUGGCGCAGCUAACGCGAUAAGUAACACCGCCUGGGGAGUACGGUCGCAAGACUAAAACUCAAAUGAAUUGACGGGGGCCCCGCACAAGCGGUGGAGCAUGUGGUUUAAUUCGAUGCAACGCGAAGAACCUUACCUGUCCUUGACAUACUAAGAACUUUCCAGAGAUGGAUUGGUGCCUUCAGGAACUUA